rnacentral:tRNA from 1 species
GUGUAGUUUACUUUUAAAAUAUCUAUUUGUGGUGUAGGAGAGUUGUCGGCUUUAGC